GAUGAACGCUGGCGGCGUGCCUAAUACAUGCAAGUCGAGCGAACAGAUGGGGAGCUUGCUCCUCUGACGUUAGCGGCGGACGGGUGAGUAACACGUGGAUAACCUACCUAUAAGACUGGGAUAACUUCGGGAAACCGGAGCUAAUACCGGAUAAUAUAUUGAACCGCAUGGUUCAAUAGUGAAAGACGGUUUUGCUGUCACUUAUAGAUGGAUCCGCGCCGCAUUAGCUAGUUGGUAAGGUAACGGCUUACCAAGGCAGCGAUGCGUAGCCGACCUGAGAGGGUGAUCGGCCACACUGGAACUGAGACACGGUCCAGACUCCUACGGGAGGCAGCAGUAGGGAAUCUUCCGCAAUGGGCGAAAGCUUGACGGAGCAACGCCGCGUGAGUGAUGAAGGUCUUCGGAUCGUAAAACUCUGUUAUUAGGGAAGAACAAAUGUGUAAGUAACUAUGCACGUCUUGACGGUACCUAAUCAGAAAGCCACGGCUAACUACGUG
rnacentral:rRNA from 1 species